GAAGGGUGGGAAAGACAGCACAACUCUCUCAGAGCGAGCAAGGCAUUCCGACAGCGCUGAUCACAAGGAUGAAUUCCACUAACUCAUCACAAAGCUCUUGGAGAUACGAGUGGGAAUAUUACUAUGAUUACCUGGACCCAUUUCCAGUAGAUGAGAGCCAACUGAAUUAUAACAAGUACUCGAUUGUGGUCAUAUUCUGGAUCAGUCUGGCAACUUUUGUGGGGUCCCUGUUUGGCAUUUUGACUUUCAUGUCCCGCUCAGUCAAUCUACCCAAGAGACUGCAGUCCUAGGAGGAUGUUAGAACAGAUGGCUCUGAGAGGUGUGCUUGCCUCGAAGCGUUUGGACUUCCUCCUCGUGUUC